UACGUAGGGUGCGAGCGUUAAUCGGAAUUACUGGGCGUAAAGCGUGCGCAGGCGGUUUUGUAAGCCAGAUGUGAAAUCCCCGGGCUUAACCUGGGAAUAGCAUUUGGGACUGCAAGGCUCGAGUGCGGCAGAGGAGACUGGAAUUCCUGGUGUAGCAGUGAAAUGCGUAGAUAUCAGGAGGAACACCGAUGGCGAAGGCAGGUCUCUGGGCUGACACUGACGCUCAUGCACGAAAGCGUGGGGAGCAAACAGG
rnacentral:rRNA from 1 species